GUGGGGAAUAUUGGGCAAUGGGGGAAACCCUGACCCAGCAACGCCGCGUGAAGGAAGAAGGUUUUCGGAUCGUAAACUUCUAUCCUUGGUGAAGAUAAUGACGGUAGCCAAGAAGGAAGCCCCGGCUAACUACGUGCCAGCAGCCGCGGUAAUACGUAGGGGGCAAGCGUUGGCCGGAAUGAUUGGGCGUAAAGGGCGCGUAGGCGGCGUGGUAAGUCUGGAGUUAAAGUCAUUCUUUUAAGGUGGGAAUUGCUUUGGAUACUGGGGGGCUUGAGUGCAGGAGAGGUAAGCGGAAUUCCCGGUGUAGCGGUGAAAUGCGUAGAGAUCGGGAGGAACACCGGUGGCGAAGGCGGCUUACUGGACUGUAACUGACGCUGAGGCGCGAAAGUGUGGGGAGCAAACAGGAUUAGAAACCCUUGUAGUCC
rnacentral:rRNA from 1 species